rnacentral:lncRNA from 1 species
CCCGUGUAAUAUGAAGGUUGUACAGAACGUACGGCGGCCCAGCAACCGAGCUGCAGCCCGAAGCCUUAGCCGAACCCAAUUCGCACACGCCCCUUGGUAGAUGGGCCGAAAUCGAAGUAGGCUUGGUGUGAGAGAGGGCUUAAAAGCCAGUUAAGAAAAGGCCAGGAUCCUCACUCUCAAGUCUCAAAACACAGGCCAGGAAACCAGGCCUGUACAGAAAUGCCUUUUAAGACCAUAGUGUAGUAGCACGAAGCAUCGACACAUUUUCUCAAAGAAAAAAAAAUGAAGCAUUGAGACAUUGGAUAUUCCGAAAAGUUCGCUCAAAAAAAGAAAAGGAUAUUCCGCAAAGAGUAAGCAAGGCAGCUCUCUCUCCCUCUAAAGAAAAGGUAAGCAUGGUCGGCCACCAUUGGAUAUUCUUUUCUUUACCUGGAAUCGUACGCUUUUGGGGUAAAUAAAUCUG